rnacentral:rRNA from 1 species
CUACGGGGGGCAGCAGUGGGGAAUAUUGCACAAUGGGCGCAAGCCUGAUGCAGCCAUGCCGCGUGUAUGAAGAAGGCCUUCGGGUUGUAAAGUACUUUCAGCGGGGAGGAAGGGAGUAAAGUUAAUACCUUUGCUCAUUGACGUUACCCGCAGAAGAAGCACCGGCUAACUCCGUGCCAGCAGCCGCGGUAAUACGGAGGGUGCAAGCGUUAAUCGGAAUUACUGGGCGUAAAGCGCACGCAGGCGGUUUGUUAAGUCAGAUGUGAAAUCCCCGGGCUCAACCUGGGAACUGCAUCUGAUACUGACAAGCUCGAGUCUCGUAGAGGGGGGUAGAAUUCCAGGUGUAGCGGUGAAAUGCGUAGAGAUCUGGAGGAAUACCGGUGGCGAAGGCGGCCCCCUGGACGAAGACUGACGCUCAGGUGCGAAAGCGUGGGGAGCAAACAGGAUUAGAUACCCGGGUAGUC